UACGAAGGGUGCAAACGUUGCUCGGAAUUAUUGGGCGUAAAGCGCACGUAGGCGGUAUUGCAAGUCGGAUGUGAAAUCCCUCGGCUUAACCAAGGAAGUGCAUCCGAAACUGCUGUACUUGAGUACGAAAGAGGAUCGCGGAAUUCCCGGUGUAGAGGUGAAAUUCGUAGAUAUCGGGAGGAACACCAGUGGCGAAGGCGGCGAUCUGGGUCGAUACUGACGCUCAUGCACGACAGCGUGGGGAUCAAACAGG
rnacentral:rRNA from 1 species